rnacentral:rRNA from 1 species
AAUCAACGCUGGCGGCGUGCCUAACACAUGCAAGUCGAACGCGAAAGCCGUGCAAGGGGUAAGUAGAGUGGCAAACGGGUGAGUAAGACGAGGGUGACAUGCCUUCGAGCGGGGGAUAACGUCCCGAAAGGGACGCUAAUACCGCAUGACAUCAUGCGUUUGAAAAAGGGGAGAUCAAAGCUGGGGAUCGCAAGACGUAGGGAUUGGAGAGGGGCGCGCGUCUGAGUAGCUGGUGUGAGGGGUAACGGAUCACCAAGGCGACGAUUCGUAUCCGGUCCGAGAGGGCUGACGGCCACCCUGGGACUUAGACCCGGCCCCGACUUCUACGGGAAGCACCCGUUGGGAAUUGUUCGCCAUUGGCGCCAGCCUUACUCCGCCCCGCCCCCUGGAGGCCGAAGAUCUUCCGGUCGUAAACUCCCGUCGGUCGGGACGAACGCUUCGCGGAUUAAUACCCCGCGGUAUUGACGGUACCCCUAAAGUAAGCCCCGGCUAACUCCGUG